GGGCUGGGCAUGGUGGCUCACGCCUGUCAUCCCAGCACUUUGGGUGGCCAAGGCAGGCGGAUCACCUGAGGUCAGGAGUUCGAGACCAGCCUGACCAACAUGGAGAAACCCCAUCACUACUAAAAAUACAAAAUUAGCUGAUGUGGUGGUGCAUGCCUGUAAUCCCAGCUACUCGGGAGGCUGAGGCAGGAGAAUCCCUUGAACUCAAAAUGCGGAGGUUGCGGUGAGCUGAGAUCAUGCCAUUGCAUUCCAGCCUGGGCAACAAGAGCAAAACUCUGUCUCAAA